UGGGAUGUCGCCAAGUGGUAAGGCAACGGGUUUUGGCUCCGUCACGCGAAGGUUCGAACCCUUCCAUCCCAGCCA
rnacentral:tRNA from 2 species